GGCCCCGUAGCUCAGCUGGAUAGAGCGUCCCCCUCCUAAGGGGAAGGUCGCACGUUCGAAUCGUGUCGGGGCUGCCA
rnacentral:tRNA from 3 species